rnacentral:rRNA from 1 species
UACGUAGGGGGCAAGCGUUGUCCGGAUUUAUUGGGCGUAAAGAGCGUGUAGGCGGUCAGGUAGGUCCGUUGUGAAACUCGAGCUCAACCUCGAGACGCCGAUGGAAACCAUCUGACUAGAGUCCGGAAGAGGAGAGUGGAAUUCCGUGGUGUAGCGGUGAAAUGCGCAGAUAUCAGGAAGAACACCCGUGGCUAAGGCGGCUCUCUAGUACGGUACUGACGCUGAGACGCGAAAGCGUGGGGAGCGAACAGG